UGCUUCCUGGGUCUAAGGAAGCCAAAGGCACCACCUCCAGAGCCCAAACCAAUGCUUCCAUUGUAAAUGACUCCCUAUUGGGAGCCCAGAGAGUCUUCCGGUUCUUCUCAGCUUAUCCUCUGUACAGAUAUUUUAAUUAAUGUUUAAUCUUCCCGUGUUUGUGCCUGGAGGCAAAGCCUGUGAGGGGGCAGAGUUCUCAGUCGCAGCCUCAGACAAGCCGCAAGUAUAACAUUAAACACCCACAACUCAAAUGACCAGCCAGACCCUCGCCCUCCAUCCCGACUGCCAGGCGCACAGGGCCACGCCAUGCGCAUGCUCUGCAGUUGCUCCCUCUCAUCCUCCAACCAUUACAAUGGCCAAUCCGACGGAGGCCAAUCCGACGGAGGCCAAUCCGACCGAGGUAAUUUCUCCGCUGAGAUUCUCACUUCCCAGACUCUCCACUUUCUCUCCUAAGGAAGGGAAACCCUCAAACCCCUUCCAUUCUCUCCUCUCCUGACAGGGUACCUCCCUGGCCAGGCUCGCAGCCGAUAACUUGGUCUUUCUGGAAGCUGAUGGGUCAAGACAAGACAUCUAUAGAUUAAAUAAGGCCUCAUAUUUUCUGUAUUGCUCAAAAAGAAAGGAAGGGAAGAAGGAAGGGAGGAAGAAAAUGAUAAGAAAAAGA